rnacentral:snRNA from 1 species
AUCCCUUUCUCGGCCUUUUGGCUAAGAUCAAGUGUAGUAUCUGUUCUUAUCAGUUUAAUAUCUGAUACGUGAGCCAAUGGCUCACAUGAUAUUAACUCAAUUUUUUUAGGGUAAAGAUUCACUGAUGUACCUUGCUGCUUGGGUCUUUGAGUGUCGCCAUGGCUUUGAACUAUUGCCUUGGCCUGGAACACCCCAC